rnacentral:lncRNA from 1 species
AUAAUCCCUUUACGAACUCUAGAAUAAGAGGGAGAGUUGGUGCUCAGCACUCUGUUCCAGAUACUUUUAGAGGCUAAAUCUUAGUUCAUCUAGCUCGCUUCAAACUGCCUGGAAUGACUUUGGGACGAGAAAGGAAAUCAAGGAAAAGUCCCUUAAUUUUUUCCAACAGAAUUGUUAUCAUCUUCACUCCAUCUAUUCACUUAUCCUUACCUGUAAAAGUGACAGUUGGAAUAAUAGCAUGGUAAUAAGGGUCUUCUAAGUUUUCUUCAAGGCAUUGUUAUAAUUUCGCAUCCACUAAUUUAUUGUACAAAUACCAGAAUGCUUUAAUAGUUUCUGGAUGUUUUAGGACUACAAUAUGGUGUGACUAUUGUCUGUCAAUAAUUUUGAACAACAAUAAAUGAAAACGGUUGUCAUCCUUUCUUAUUUCGGUCUUUUCCUCCCAAAGUUGCAUGAAUAGAGAUAAAAAUAUCUUCUGGCAUUUUAUGAAUUCUUAUAUUAAGGCUUCUGGAUGGCUCUUUAUUAGUUUAUUCCUGGAGGUUUCUUUU